GAUGGUCUCAUGCACCAUCAAGCACUCGGUGGAGGCAGGAAUUCUCCCAGGGUGCCAUUAUUGCCAAGGGGACUGAUGGCCUGAGACGGGAAAUAGGAGGCUGGAGGACGCAACGUCCCAUAAAACCCAGAUUUCGUGGCCACUGAGAAGAUUAAGCUUGUGCGCGCCUCAUUCUUCAUUUCAAUUGGCCUCGGGACGCCUUUUAAUCCCCAGCACCCCGAAGGACUCUGGAACGCAUCUGCCUUAGGAAAAAGGUCUGGUAACAGACUGCGGCGGGGGAGACCACGCCUGGUCCGAGGGGGUCAGAGCCCCCAGCAAAAAUUGUGGGAAUCCAGGUGUUUGAGGCAGAUCCGGGGGUACCAGGACCUUUGGGCUCCCCUGAAGCCCUUCGCCUGGAGGAUCAGCCCUGCAGGGUGAUGUCAUCAACCGCACUGAGCCCAGGGAGCUAAAAACAGAUGGACCAUUCUCAGAACAGACACCUUUGCCAUCUCCGCCUUGGUGCCAUCAAGACUAUGACAUGCGUCUUAAUGUUAAAAGGAAACACUGUUUAAAUAAAGGACCACCCAGUCCUCAGGGUGACCUUGCCUGGGAAUUCUGACCUGGAGAUGCAGCUGGUUCAGAGGCCACAAAUGCAGGUCCAGCCUAAAGCUGACAUUCAGAUAGUUUAGUUUGGGAUGUCAGGUAUUUAAAUGUUCUUUUGAAUUAACUGCCAACAUUUAAAAACCACAAAGUUUUAUAUAAAAAUCUGUAUUUCCAGCUUCUCUUGAAGAAACAGGAAAAUCUGUCAGUGUGGAGCCUGUCCUCCCACAUGGCAGCAAUCAGCUGUUCCUGGCUGGUGGUGACCCCUUCAAAUGGGGCUCACCCCACUCAGUCCACUGCAGUCCCCACCACUCCCUCUUGUCUCCCAUUCUCACCCAGCCAAUCUGUGUUUGUGACCAGCAACUUCCCACUGGCAAGGUUUGGCCAUCUGUAUGAGACCGAACGAGGAUUACUGACUCUAAAAACAUCUCAUACAGACGAGAAAUUUACAGAUAAUCUAGGUGGAGUCCAUUUCAGAGACCGUGAAACUGGAGCCCGAAGAAGAGAAACAACUUGCCCAGGCUUUCAGAGUCAUCGAUGAGCUGCACUGAAAUGAGAAACCAGGUCUCUGGGGUCCCAUUCCUACUUUCUGGCCCUUCUCAUGGCCUUAAAACACACGCAUGUGCAUGUACACGUGCAUAAACAUGCACACAACCUUCCACCCUUGGCAGCAAUAAGAACAGUGGUGAAAGUUCACUGAUGGCUUGCUACGAACCCAGGAGGCCUCCCCUCGCAACACUGCAAUGUCGGAGACGCUGGUACUGUCCCGUUGAGAUGACAAGGUGAUGGAGGCUGGGCCAGGAAGUGAAGCGUCCCGUCCAAAGCCACACGGCUCAGAGGAGGCUGAGCUGGGCUUUCUGUGGGGGUCUGUCCGCGUACCCACUGCUUAACCACAGCUGCAAAUUCUACCCCAUUAAGCGACAGUUACCAUCUCAGCCUCUAAAAAUUAUGCCAACCCCCG
rnacentral:lncRNA from 1 species